UACGUAGGGCGCAAGCGUUGUCCGGAAUUAUUGGGCGUAAAGAGCUCGUAGGUGGCGUGUCGCGUCUGCCGUGAAAGCCCAUGGCUUAACUGUGGGUCUGCGGUGGAUACGGGCAGGCUGGAGGCUGGUAGGGGCAAGCGGAAUUCCUAGUGUAGCGGUGAAAUGCGCAGAUAUCAGGAGGAACACCGGUGGCGAAGGCGGCUUGCUGGGCCAGUUCUGACGCUGAGGAGCGAAAGCGUGGGGAGCGAACAGG
rnacentral:rRNA from 1 species